rnacentral:rRNA from 1 species
UACGUAGGCAGCGAGCGUUGUUCGGAGUUACUGGGCGUAAAGGGUGUGUAGGCGGUUGUUUAAGUUUGGUGUGAAAUCUCCCGGCUCAACUGGGAGGGUGCGCCGAAUACUGAAUGACUUGGAGUGCGGGAGAGGUGAGUGGAAUUCCAGGUGUAGCGGUGAAAUGCGUAGAUAUCUGGAGGAACACCGAUGGCGAAGGCAGCCUCCUGGGCCAGCACUGACGCUCAUGCACGAAAGCGUGGGGAGCAAACAGG